GAAUAUAUGCAUCUUCUUGGCAGGUGACGUCAUCCCUUGGGUAUUUAAGAAGCCACGAUCGCAGUUUUAGAUCACCCCUGAUGAAGACACUAGACUGGAGUGUCGAAACGUUGGGUCUUGGUUACAAUUCGACUGGGCUUUGUGGUAAUUUAUUUAAACCAGAGUAGCGAGCGAAACAUGAUUGAUAUACCUGGUUGCAGUGAACGAACAAACUUUAUA